rnacentral:rRNA from 1 species
UACGAAGGGGGCUAGCGUUGCUCGGAUUUACUGGGCGUAAAGGGCGCGUAGGCGGAUGACCAAGUUGGGGGUGAAAUCCCGGGGCUUAACCUCGGAACUGCCUCCAAAACUGGUCGUCUUGAGUUUGGGAGAGGUGUGUGGAACUCCGAGUGUAGAGGUGAAAUUCGUAGAUAUUCGGAAGAACACCAGUGGCGAAGGCGACACACUGGCCCAAUACUGACGCUGAGGCGCGAAAGCGUGGGGAGCAAACCGG